CACACGCAGAGAGAGCGAGAGACCCGCCGCCCCACCCCCCUCACCCGCCGCCGCCCCGUGCGUCCCGUCCGUUCGGUCCGUUAGGGCUUCGGCCGUCCGCCAUGGCGAUCCUCGGGGAGCUCGGGACCGAGAUCCUCAUCCCCGUCUGCGGGGUCGUCGGCAUCGUCUUCGCCGUCGCGCAGUGGUUCAUCGUCUCCAAGGUCAAGGUCACCCCCGGCGCCGCCUCCGCCGCCGGCGGCGGCAAGAACGGCUACGGCGACUACCUCAUCGAGGAGGAGGAGGGCCUCAACGACCACAACGUCGUCGUCAAGUGCGCCGAGAUCCAGACCGCCAUCUCUGAAGGAGCAACCUCAUUUCUUUUCACCAUGUACCAGUAUGUUGGUAUGUUCAUGGUCGUCUUUGCUGCGGUUAUCUUCGUCUUCCUUGGGUCGAUUGAGGGAUUCAGCACAAAGGGCCAGCCCUGCACCUACAGCACGGGCACCUGCAAGCCAGCUCUCUACACCGCUCUCUUCAGCACUGCGUCUUUCUUGCUUGGAGCCAUCACAUCUCUGGUGUCUGGUUUCCUUGGGAUGAAGAUCGCCACAUACGCCAAUGCCAGGACGACCCUGGAAGCAAGGAAGGGUGUUGGGAAGGCAUUUAUCACCGCUUUCCGCUCUGGUGCAGUCAUGGGCUUCUUGUUGUCAUCAAGUGGGCUUGUGGUUCUUUACAUCACCAUCAAUGUGUUCAAGAUGUACUACGGUGAUGACUGGGAAGGUCUUUUUGAGUCCAUCACUGGUUAUGGUCUGGGUGGGUCUUCCAUGGCUCUAUUCGGAAGAGUUGGUGGAGGUAUCUACACCAAGGCUGCUGACGUGGGUGCUGACCUUGUUGGCAAAGUUGAGAGGAACAUUCCUGAAGAUGACCCAAGGAACCCAGCUGUAAUUGCUGACAACGUCGGUGACAAUGUUGGUGAUAUUGCUGGGAUGGGAUCAGAUCUCUUUGGUUCAUACGCAGAAUCGUCCUGCGCUGCUCUUGUUGUUGCUUCUAUCUCAUCUUUUGGAAUCAACCAUGAUUUCACUGCGAUGUGCUACCCACUGCUCGUGAGCUCUGUUGGCAUCAUUGUUUGCUUGCUCACCACCCUGUUUGCGACUGAUUUCUUUGAGAUCAAGGCUGCAAGCGAAAUUGAACCUGCUCUGAAGAAGCAGCUCAUCAUCUCCACUGCUUUAAUGACUAUCGGUGUUGCGGUGAUCAGCUGGUUGGCUCUCCCAGCUAAGUUCACCAUCUUCAACUUCGGUGCUCAGAAGGACGUGUCCAACUGGGGCCUGUUCUUCUGUGUGGCAGUUGGUCUGUGGGCUGGUCUGAUUAUUGGGUUUGUGACCGAAUACUACACUAGCAAUGCCUACAGCCCUGUGCAAGAUGUUGCCGAUUCCUGCAGAACUGGUGCUGCCACCAACGUCAUCUUCGGUCUUGCCCUUGGUUACAAGUCAGUCAUCAUCCCAAUUUUCGCUAUUGCUGUCAGCAUCUACGUCAGCUUCUCUAUUGCUGCAAUGUACGGCAUUGCAAUGGCUGCUCUUGGCAUGCUUAGCACAAUGGCAACUGGUCUUGCUAUCGAUGCUUAUGGUCCCAUUAGUGACAAUGCUGGUGGAAUUGCUGAGAUGGCUGGCAUGAGCCACAGAAUCCGUGAGAGGACUGAUGCUCUUGAUGCUGCUGGCAACACAACCGCUGCUAUUGGAAAGGGUUUCGCCAUUGGAUCAGCUGCUCUUGUGUCCCUGGCACUUUUUGGUGCCUUCGUCAGCAGAGCUGGUGUGAAGGUCGUUGAUGUCCUAUCUCCCAAGGUGUUCAUUGGCCUGAUUGUCGGAGCCAUGCUUCCGUACUGGUUCUCUGCCAUGACCAUGAAGAGUGUUGGAAGUGCUGCUCUCAAGAUGGUUGAGGAGGUCCGCAGGCAGUUCAAUACCAUCCCUGGACUGAUGGAGGGAACUGCCAAGCCCGACUAUGCCACCUGUGUCAAGAUCUCCACUGAUGCUUCCAUCAGGGAGAUGAUUCCUCCGGGUGCUUUGGUCAUGCUCACCCCCCUCAUUGUCGGAACCCUCUUUGGCGUGGAAACCCUGUCUGGUGUUCUUGCUGGUGCCCUUGUUUCUGGAGUACAGAUCGCCAUCUCUGCUUCCAACACCGGCGGUGCAUGGGACAACGCAAAGAAGUACAUUGAGGCCGGCAACAGCGAGCACGCGAGGUCCCUUGGCCCCAAGGGUUCAGACUGCCACAAGGCGGCCGUGAUCGGCGACACCAUCGGAGACCCCCUCAAGGACACCUCAGGCCCGUCGCUCAACAUCCUCAUCAAGCUGAUGGCCGUCGAGUCCCUCGUGUUCGCGCCCUUCUUCGCCACGUACGGAGGUGUGCUGUUCAAGUACAUCUAGAAGACUCGUCGAGCGGACUUAGAAUCUACGGACACCAUCACGAAUAACUCUGCCCCGCCCGCCCGCCGUUCGUAUGUUGUGCGCUGCUGUUAUUUUUGGUUCUUGUGUCAUUAUUCCAGGAUUGCCGCAGUUUACCCCCACUUUCCCUUUGGCCUCUUGGGUGUGUUACGUUAGUCUCACCAUUACCGGCUUGUAGCUCCAUGUAGUAGAAGAGAGAGACCAGAUGUCCUCGGUCAUUAUUGGUAUGUGUCUGGCAAAUUUUCCUCGUCCCGUGAUGACGACGAUAAUGUUUGAACCCUUGAACAAUGAUAUCAUGACGAUUGUUGCAUCAUCUCACCUAUGCCGAGUCUUUAUUCUUAUUCAGCUGAUCUGUGUGCACCUGUGACUUGCUGCUCGAUCUGCAUAAGAUCAGCUAGAUAGAAGUGCUAGUUCAGAAUGUAGGAAUGUUCUGAUCUUGUGUGAAAUGCCUGGAAAUUUCUGCAUGAAACCAACAAAUUUCUUUGAAAAUUCCUGUGAAGUAGUUGGUUUCCCAUUGCCUCUUGGUUCAGAAAAGCUUCAUUCCUACUUUGAUUCUCUAUGUUCCCAUCCAAAACAACAUGGCUCUGAGGCUGAAGGUAAAUGUUUCCUAUCCUUUUUGUCUGCCACCAUUACAAGAAAACACAAACCACUCGGAAGAAACCAGGAAAGAGUUAUUCCCAUUGCGUCUUGUUUCACUAUGUCAAUUUCCCCUUCAUCCUCUUACAAUCUAAUCACACAAAGCCACACACUCUUCAGCCAUCUUAUAACUAUCUUGGGAUGGACAUGCUUAGCAAGCCACCCUUUAUGA
rnacentral:rRNA from 1 species